GUGAGGAAUAUUGGACAAUGGAUGGAAAUCUGAUCCAGCCAUGCCGCGUGCAGGAAGACGGCCCUAUGGGUUGUAAACUGCUUUUAUACGGGAGCAAUAAGGUCUAUGCAUAGAUUGAUGAGAGUACCGUAUGAAUAAGCAUCGGCUAACUCCGUGCCAGCAGCCGCGGUAAUACGGAGGAUGCGAGCGUUAUACGGAUUUAUUGGGUUUAAAGGGUGCGUAGGCGGCUUUGUAAGUCAGCGGUGAAAUUUUGCAGCUUAACUGUAAAAGCGCCGUUGAUACUGUGAAGCUAGGAUUUGGUUGCUAUGGGCGGAAUGUGUGGUGUAGCGGUGAAAUGCAUAGAGAUCACACAGAAUAUCGAUUGCGAAGGCAGCUCACAAAGCCAAUAUUGACGCUGAGGCACGAAAGUGUGGGGAUCAAACAGGAUUAGAUACCCCUGUAGUCC
rnacentral:rRNA from 1 species